UACGUAGGGUGCGAGCGUUAAUCGGAAUUACUGGGCGUAAAGCGUGCGCAGGCGGUUCUCCAAGUCCGUUGUGAAAGCCCCGGGCUCAACCUGGGAACUGCCUUUGAGACUGCUAGGCUCGAGACCGAGAGAGGAGAGUGGAAUUCCCAGUGUAGAGGUGAAAUUCGUAGAUAUUGGGAAGAACACCAGUGGCGAAGGCGGCUCUCUGGCUCGGUACUGACGCUGAGGCGCGAAAGCGUGGGGAGCAAACAGG
rnacentral:rRNA from 1 species